GAUGAACGCUAGCGGCAGGCUUAACACAUGCAAGUCGAGGGGUAUUGGUUUUCGGACCAAGAGACCGGCGCACGGGUGCGUAACGCGUAUGCAAUCUACCUUUUGCAGAGGGAUAGCCCCAGAGAAAUUUGGAUUAAUACCUCAUAGUAUAGUACUUUGGCAUCAAGGAACUAUUAAAGUCACAACGGCAAAAGAUGAGCAUGCGUCCCAUUAGCUAGUUGGUAAGGUAACGGCUUACCAAGGCUACGAUGGGUAGGGGUCCUGAGAGGGAGAUCCCCCCACACUGGUACUGAGACACGGACCAGACUCCUACGGGAGGCAGCAGUGAGGAAUAUUGGACAAUGGGGCGAAAGCCUGAUCCAGCAAUGCCGCGUGAGUGAUGAAGGCC
rnacentral:rRNA from 1 species